GAAAUGCGAUAAGUAAUGUGAAUUGCAGAAUUCAGUGAAUCAUCGAAUCUUUGAACGCACCUUGCGCUCCUUGGUAUUCCGAGGAGCAUGCCUGUUUGAGUGUCAUGAAACUCUCACCCUUCAACUUUCUUAAUAGUGGUUGAAGGCGUGGACUUGAGCAUUGCUGGUUUUUAUUAACCGGCUCGCUUGAAAUGAAUUAGCAGAUCCUUUUUGUAAUCGGUUCCACUCGACGUGAUAAGUAUUUCGCCGAGGACAUCUUAACGGAUGGCCGAGAUAAGAAAAGUCUUAGAUCCGCUUCUAAUUCUUAGCUUACGCAAGUAACUAAACCCAUUUUAUGAUCUGGCCUCAAAUCAGGUAGGACUACCCGCUGAACUUAA
rnacentral:misc_RNA from 1 species